UUCAUGAGUUUUUUCGUAUAUUCGUCGGUGUUAUGGCAUAGAACGAUAUUUCUACAGUCCCCAAGUGUCCCACAACCAACCGGAUAAUGAGGAAGGAAAAGACGAAACUUCCGAGGAUCAACAACAUUCGUGGCAGAGAUGGCAGACGAAGAACAGUAGUUCUAAAAGCGCCAUUAAGGAUAUUAUGAAAGGGUAACUUCCACAACAACAUUUCCUACCAUCAUAACCACAAUUUGCCAAUUUGGUUCACUAUUUCAGCGGACUCAGCCCCUACCCUACAGCGUACUCCAGGCUGGCAAAUGGAACCUACCGGCGAUUCCAGGGGAAGGUUUGCUAACGUACCGGAGACAUGAGACUGUGUAGCCAGGUGUGAUUUCAUCAGCCGCCGGAAUGAUUCCAUCGUGGGUUCCGAUACCACCAAUGUCAUUCGCACAGGUGUGUUCGGGUUUCCGGAAUGUCGAAGUACUUCAUUGUCGUUCGGUGAUAGUGGAGCGCCUUAUAUAUUGAAAUAAAUGUUUUUUCUAUCA